UAGGGAAUCUUCCACAAUGAACGAAAGUCUGAUGGAGCAACGCCGCGUGAGUGAAGAAGGGUUUCGGCUCGUAAAACUCUGUUGUUAAAGAAGAACAUAUCUGAGAGUAACUGUUCAGGUAUUGACGGUAUUUAACCAGAAGGCCACGGCUAACUACGUGCCAG
rnacentral:rRNA from 1 species